rnacentral:tRNA from 1 species
CAAGGGGUAGUUUAAGAAAAAUUUUAGCUUUGGGAGCUAAAGACGGGAGUUAGACCCUCCUCCCCUUGA